CCUUCCAAGCCUCUUUACAAUGCUCACAGGGGAAGGG
rnacentral:sRNA from 1 species